UACGUAGGGUGCAAGCGUUAAUCGGAAUUACUGGGCGUAAAGCGUGCGCAGGCGGUUGUGCAAGACAGAUGUGAAAUCCCCGGGCUUAACCUGGGAAUUGCAUUUGUGACUGCACGGCUAGAGUGUGUCAGAGGGGGUAGAAUUCCACGUGUGAGCAGUGAAAUGCGUAGAUAUGUGGAGGAAUACCGAUGGCGAAGGCAGCCCCCUGGGAUAACACUGACGCUCAUGCACGAAAGCGUGGGAGCAAACAGG
rnacentral:rRNA from 1 species